rnacentral:rRNA from 1 species
GAUGAACGCUGGCGGCGUGCCUAAUACAUGCAAGUCGAGCGAAGCGGGGACGGGUGAUUAACACGUGGAUAACCUCCUAUAAGACUGGGAUAACUUCGGGAAACCGGAGCUAAACCGGAUCCUUAUUGAUGGAUCCACGCUGCAUUAGCUAGUUGGUAAGGUAACGGCUUACCAAGGCAACGAUGCAUAGCCGAACUGAGAGAGUGAUCGGCCACACUGGAACUGUGACACGGUCCAGACUCCUACGGGAGGCAGCAGUAGGGAAUCUUCCGCAAUGGGCGAAAGCCUGACGGAGCAAAGCCGCGUGAGUGAUGAAGGUCUUCGGAUCGUAAAACUCUGUUAUUAGGGAAGCGGUACCUAAUCAGAAAGCCCCGGCUAACUACGUGCCAGCAGCCGCGGUAAUUC